ensembl:snRNA U6 U6 spliceosomal RNA
GUGCUUGUUUCAGCAGCACUUACGCUAAAAUUGCAAAGAUACAGAGAUUAGUAAGUAUGUUCCCAGCACAAAGAUGAUAUGCAAAUUCAUGGCAUUCCAAAUUUUA